rnacentral:rRNA from 1 species
GAUGAACGCUGACAGAAUGCUUUACACAUGCAAGUCUACUUGAAUUUGGGUUUUUUAACUUCGAUUUGGGUGGCGGACGGGUGAGUAACGCGUAAAGAACUUGCCUCACAGCUAGGGACAACAUUUGGAAACGAAUGCUAAUACCUGAUAUUAUGAUUAUAGGGCAUCCUAGAAUUAUGAAAGCUAUAUGCGCUGUGAGAGAGCUUUGCGUCCCAUUAGCUAGUUGGAGAGGUAACGGCUCACCAAGGCGAUGAUGGGUAGCCGGCCUGAGAGGGUGAACGGCCACAAGGGGACUGAGACACGGCCCUUACUCCUACGGGAGGCAGCAGUGGGGAAUAUUGGACAAUGGACCGAGAGUCUGAUCCAGCAAUUCUGUGUGCACGAUGACGUUUUUCGGAAUGUAAAGUGCUUUCAGUUGGGAAGAAAAAAAUGACGGUACCAACAGAAGAAGUGACGGCUAAAUACGUGCCAGCAGCCGCGGUAAUACGUAUGUCACGAGCGUUAUCCGGAUUUAUUGGGCGUAAAGCGCGUCUAGGUGGUUAUGUAAGUCUGAUGUGAAAAUGCAGGGCUCAACUCUGUAUUGCGUUGGAAACUGUGUAACUAGAGUACUGGAGAGGUAAGCGGAACUACAAGUGUAGAGGUGAAAUUCGUAGAUAUUUGUAGGAAUGCCGAUGGGGAAGCCAGCUUACUGGACAGAUACUGACGCUGAAGCGCGAAAGCGUGGGUAGCAAACAGG